CCCUAAAAGCCAUAAAAAUUCCAAAAAAAAAUUGGAUAAAUUCGGUGCAUGAUUGAAAGAGUUUUGGAUUUCUAAAACUCUAUCUCAUAGAAUUCAAAAUCCAAACUUAUUCCUUUUAGAUUUGAUCCAAACCACCUUCCAUGUAAGAAAGAUGAGAGGAGACCUUUUGUGAACGUGGGAGAAAUCUGGGAGAGGGAUUUUGUCACAUAAAAUAAGUGGAGAUUGGCGUUGAAUAAGAGAGAGGGCGU
rnacentral:lncRNA from 1 species